UACGUAGGGCGCGAGCGUUGUCCGGAAUUAUUGGGCGUAAAGAGCUCGUAGGCGGCUUGUUGCGUCUGCUGUGAAAUCCCGGGGCUUAACCCCGGGCGUGCAGUGGAUACGGGCAGGCUGGAGGCAGGCAGGGGAGAAUGGAAUUCCCGGUGUAGCGGUGAAAUGCGCAGAUAUCGUCAAGAACACCGAUAGCGAAGGCAGCUUACCAAGCAGUAACUGACGCUGAGGCACGAAAGUGCGGGGAUCAAACAGG
rnacentral:rRNA from 1 species